CAUUUCUUUCUUAUUUUCCCGGCGUCUUAAUUAUCACCAGCGGGAUGGACAGGAAGAAAAGUCUGGAAGACACAUUUAGGAACUUUGUCAUCGAUGCAGUUGUUUCCUGAUAACGGAUGGAGUGCCUGCUGUAUUGAGAUUAUGGGUGUGGGCCACAGUGCCCAGCCAGAUGUAUCUUCUAAUCCACCAAGGGAAUCUGAACUGUUAAUUAAUUGUUAAUUGUUAAAACAUUGCUGGGCAAAAUAGCCCCGACAUGCCGCUUGAAGCACCUGGGCAGCUCAGACAUGAACUUCCUAAACCAUGAAAAACAAGACAACAAAGAGGAUGGAAGACAGGGAGGAAAAAGUCAUCAAAGGAAAGCAGCGAGAAACCGAGAAACUGGUGUGUACUGGAUCAGAGUGAAUAAGCAGAUGUGGUUGGAAGCAUACUAUUGAUGAAAAUCACCUCAGCUAAUAGACGUAGCUCAACCAAAACAUUGGCUUACACAAUUUGCUGGAAUUCUCUGUCUUCCACUAGCGGGCUUCAGCAGAAGAUCUGAACUCUCAGCUCCUCCUGCACCAUGCCUGUCUGGAUGCUGCCAUGCUGCCACCUUGAUGAUAAUGGACUCCUGCACCAUGCCUGCCUGGAUGCUGCCAUGCUGUCACCUUGAUGAUAAUGGACUGAACCUCUGAACCUGUAAGCCAGCCCCAAUUACAUGUUGUCCUUAUAAGAGUUGCCUUGGUCAUGGUGUCUGUUCACAGCAGUGAAACCCUAGCUAAGAGAGUGAAUUCAGAUGUAGAAAUCUCCUUCAUCAGCAUCAUGUCUGCCUGCACGCUGCCGUGCUUUCCUCCGUGAUGACACGGAUUGAUCCUCUGAAACUGUAAACCAGCCCCAAUCAAACGCUUUUUAAUACAAGAGUUGCCAUGGUAAUGUGUUUCUUCAUAGCAAUAGGUCGCUAAGACCAGUGGUGUCUUGUUUUCCUGGUUAUUCAUGUUUCUUAGAGUCUUUUGUAGUUAUCUGUACAUUUGCACAAGAGAUUCUUUCCUCCAGGGUUUAUCAACUAUCUCUGACAUAGUGAUUAACUUUACCUCUGAGCUGGGGUGCAUUAAAGCAUACUUUGACUCUAAACCUAGUGAGCCAGGGCACGUGUGGAGGCUUUCAGUUCAGAGGGUAAUGAAUGUGUCUAUCAGCUCACACAGCUGGUAUCCAAAGUGUUGACAACUUGGCAGUCCUAUGCUGCGAGGACUGUUAGGGAUCCAGUGGCAAGGGCAGCAAUGGAGACAUGGGACACUCAGAUGCGUACACUUGGCCUCAAAGGCCAGCUGCAGGUAUCUGCUGGGUGACAAGUUUGGUGGCAGGCAAGUGCACAGCGGGAAAGUUUAGAGCACGAGAGGCUCAGAAGCCAUAGCUUGUAAAGGCAAAUAAAGACUCUUGGCUACAGAUUAAUGGAGUCCUCUUUGGAGCAAUGUUUUAAUUCUGUCACAUUAAAUAUUGUGAGUCCUCAGUGGUGAAAGUGUGAGGAGUUUGCAGCAGCUCCUGGGUCUGUUAAGUUUCCAGCAAAGAUGGCUCCAGAGUCCUCUUCUGAGGAGACUCUAAGGACAGCCAAGUCACAUACUCUAUUGCUGUCUCUUUUGCUCCGAGCUAUUUCCAGAUGCAUACUAUGCCAUUCUUCCUUAGUGAUCUGGGGAGAUCACCAGGCGAGUCUUUGAAAAGGUGUUCUGAAAGUUUGUGGGAUAUGGCUGUUCACCCAGCCUUUCUUUUUCUUAAGAGGGCAGUUCAUGGGCUGGUUAGUUUCUUCUCAGCCAGGGUAGUGAUGGGUUGGGGAGAGGUGUGUGAGUCAGGCAAAAUGAACCAUUUGCCCAUUGUUUUGAGGCAUUUUACUUGGGCGUUCUUCCUCCACCGUAUGCCUAUAUCUUUUACAAUGAUCACCCCCCAGUACUUCCAGAGAUAUUUACCUUCCUCGAUAGUUCAUUUGGUGGGGAGGGAGGAUGUUGUAAAAUCUGAUAUCUUACUCCAAUGUAUUGCUGUCAUCGAUUGCUACUGCCUGAUUGGAAAGCGUGACUCUAAAUCCCAGCCCUGCCUAUAACUCCAGUUUCAGUGAGUUUGGCACCCUCUCUUGGUCUUUAAAGCUCUUGCACAUACUCUCUUGUACACGUGCUCAUAAACUCAUGCAGGCUCGAACAGGUUCACAUAACUG
rnacentral:lncRNA from 1 species